rnacentral:rRNA from 1 species
UACGGAGGGGGCUAGCGUUGUUCGGAAUUACUGGGCGUAAAGCGCACGUAGGCGGCGAUCUAAGUCAGAGGUGAAAGCCCGGGGCUCAACCCCGGAACUGCCUUUGAGACUGGAUUGCUAGAAUCUUGGAGAGGCGGGUGGAAUUCCGAGUGUAGAGGUGAAAUUCGUAGAUAUUCGGAAGAACACCAGUGGCGAAGGCGGCCCGCUGGACAAGUAUUGACGCUGAGGUGCGAAAGCGUGGGGAGCAAACAGG